rnacentral:rRNA from 1 species
CAAUAGCGUAUAUUAAAGCUGUUACGGUUAAAAAGCUCGUAGUUGGAUUUCUGUCAAGGACAACUGGUCCGCCCUCCGGGUGAGCACAUAGUUUGGUCUUGGCAUCUUGCUGGAAGCUGUUGCUGCACUUGGCUGUGUGGCGCAGCGUCCAGCACUUUCACUUUGAGGAAAUUGGAGUGUUUCAAGCAGGCACAUGCCUUUGGACACAGUAGCAUGGAAUAAUUAGAUUGGGCUUUUGCUCCAAUUUGUCGGUUUCUGGAGCUGAGGUGAGAAUUAAUGGGGAUUGUUGGGGGCAUCCGAAUUUAGCCGUCAGAGGUGAAAUUCUUGGAUCUGCUAAAGACGGACAACUGCGAAAGCGUUUGCCCAGGAUGUUUUCAUUGA